rnacentral:tRNA from 1 species
GUUAGGACGUCAGAUUUUCAUUCUGAAAAGAGGGGUUCGACUCCCCUAGGGCGUACCA